rfam:Gorilla gorilla gorilla genomic chromosome, chr11, whole genome shotgun sequence
GCUGGGCACGGUGCUGCGUGCCUGUAAUCCCAGCUACUUGGGAGGCUGAGGCACAAGAAUUGCUUGAACCCAGGAGGCAGAGGUUGCAGUGAGUAGAGAUCGCACCACUGCACUCCAGCCUGGGUGACAAAGUGAGACUCUGUCUCAA